GGAGAUUGGAAUUCUGUGACUGGGGUGCCAGCAUGGUCAGUUUCCAGUGGGGACCCUUUUCCAGGCUUGCAGACGACCACCUCCUGCUGCGUCCUCACGUGAUGGAGAGAGAGAGCCACUUCCUAGAAGGGCUAGUCUUACCAGGGACCGUUCUAGAAGCAGUGACUCUAAAAGUUCCCGGUCAGAUGCGAUGUACAGACCGUGCCAUGUUGGUCAAAGCUUUUCUACACAUUGACUCAGAGUGGAUGAAUGACUUGGACAGAAGAAUGAGAGGAACUGGUAUUAGAAUCAUACAUUUUUCCACAGAAGAGUCCCCCAGUUUCCUGCAUUGGGAGGUGAG